rnacentral:rRNA from 1 species
GUACACGCUGUGACUAGCAUAUCAAUAAGCGGAGGAAAAGAAACUAACAAGGAUUCCCCUAGUAACGGCGAGUGAAGCGGGAAGAGCUCAAAUUUGAAAUCUUAAAGGGUUUCCCUUUACGAAUUGUAGUUUAAAGAAGUGUUUUCCGUUGAGGUUUUGGUAAAAGUUCUUUGGAAUAGGACAUCAUAGAGGGUGAGAAUCCCGUAUUUGACCUUUACUUUCAACUUUGUGAUACACUUUCAAAGAGUCGGAUUGUUUGGGAAUGCAGUCCAAAAUGGGUGGUAAAUUUCAUCUAAAGCUAAAUAUUGGCGAGAGACCGAUAGCGAACAAGUACCGUGAGGGAAAGAUGAAAAGAACUUUGAAAAGAGAGUUAAACAGUACGUGAAAUUGUCAAAAGGGAAGCGUUUGACACCAGUGUUGUUUUUCUGAAAAUCAAUUAAAGAACUGUUUAUGCUAAGUUGUUUAGACUUUAUCAGCUAACUGUUUAGUUUUGAGCUUUUCUUUAAUGCACUUUUCAGUUAACAAGUCAACAUCAAUUUCUUUUGCUGUAAAAAAGCUUGAGGAAGGUGGCUUGAGAUUCGUCUUAAGUGUUUAUAGCCUCUUGCCUAUGCAGUCGGAGAGAUUGAGGUCUGCAGCGUAGAUCCUUCGGGGCUAAAUGCAUUUGUGCUAAGUUAUAACAUUUUAUAGACAACUUGUUGACUAUGAUUUGUCUUGUAGCUUACUCGCUUAUGUUAUUUUACCUACGCUUAGGAUGUUGAAGUCAUCGUAUCGCGC